GACGAACGCUGGCGGCGCGCUUAACACAUGCAAGUCGAACGGAAAGGCCUGCUUUCCCUUGUGGAUUGCGGGUACUCGAGUGGCGAACGGGUGAGUAACACGUGAGUGAUCUGCCCCCAACUUGGGUAUAAGCCUGGGAAACUGGGUCUAAUUCCCGAUAGGACUGCAGGGUGGUGCCUGUGGUGGAAAACGAUUUUCUAGUGGUUGGGGAUGAGCUCGCGGCCUAUCAGCUUGUUGGUGGGGUAAUGGCCUACCAAGGCGGCGACGGGUAGCCGGCCUGAGAGGGUGGACGGCCACAUUGGGACUGAGAUACGGCCCAGACGCCUACGGGAGGCAGCAGUGGGGAAGAUUGCACAAUGGGCGGAAGCCUGAUGCAGCGACGCAGCGUGGGGGAUGACGGCCUUCGGGUUGUAAACUCCUUUCGACCGCGAGGAAGCCACCUGGUUGGAAGGGUGGUGACGGUAGUGGUAGAAGAAGCACCGGCUAACUACGUG
rnacentral:rRNA from 1 species